UUCCUUUCUCGCCGUUGAUGUCUCCGUGUCAUCAUGUUUCUUUUCGACUUCGGACACAGCACGUGGUGCGGAGUCCCUGGAGUGUUCGGGGCGCUCCGGCCACACUUAGGCCCUGUGCAGGAACUGUAUUUUAAGAAAUGAAGAGAUUUUGCCCAGGAUCUGAGCCAAAAAUGCUGCAUGCUGUUAAAUCUAUUGAGGUUUAAAAGGCAUGAAAAUGAGAAAAUAUUAAGGAAGAAUCAAGUGUCUUAAGCAAGAGUCAUGGAUGAACAAGGAAGGUAACCAGUAACUAUAGGUAGUUUUGGAUGGAUAUCCAAAUCUGUACGUUGACAAGAUUCCGAUUUCAGUUUUAUUUUAGCAGCAGAAAUUUCUGAAACUGCCAGUGCCUGAAUGGGUGCAGGUCUGAAUCAACACUUUGGGUGUGGUGUACAAGUGUUCAGUUCAAGAAUUCAUGAGCUCUUGAGGAAAAUAUGUAACCACAGAGAUGCAGUGGGAAGAAGACAAAGAAACUCAGUUUUGACCUUGAAUGUGAUCACGUAGAUAGACCACAUUAUUAUCUUCAAUCAACUGUGCUAUUGCUGUUCAGUUGUGUCUUACUCUUCUGGGCCAGCCCCUUUCUGUCUUACUAAGUUCCUAGUGAUAUAACACUUGUCCAUUUCAUCCUCAGCUAUCAUCGGAAUUAUCUUCAUGUUUGAGUUUGGCCAUAGUUCUCCCAUUGACUGUAAUUCUGGCUUUUGAUUCAGCUAGCCUGGCAUUUAACAUGCUGUACUCUGCAUAUAAGUUAAAUAAAGUGAUGAUAUAUA